GAAGUUUAAGGUUGGCACCUCCAGGUUGCCACGGCACACGAAACAGCGUUGGUCCCCAUAUACCGGUAAACUGAAACUGCAGCGAAGCAGUUAGCAGAGCCAUGUAUAUCAGGUCUGUUUCGUGUGCUGAAUUGUUGACGCAUUUAUUUAUUGGUAUCGC
rnacentral:sRNA from 3 species